rnacentral:rRNA from 1 species
AUUGAACGCUGGCGGCAGGCCUAACACAUGCAAGUCGAGCGGAGCGGCGGACGGGUGAGUGAUGCCUAGGAAUCUGCCUGUUAGUGGGGGAUCCCGUCCGGAAACGGGCGCUAAUACCGCAUACUCUCAGAUCAGCCUAGGUCGUAGUAGCUAGUUGGUGGGGUAAAGGCCUACCAAGGCGACGAUCCUUAACUGGUCUGAGAGGAGGAUCAGUCACACUGGAACUGAGACACGGCCCAGACUCCGACGGGAGGCAGCAGUGGGGAAUAUUGGACAAUGGGCGAAAGCCUGAGCCAGCCAUGCCGCGUGUGUGAAGAAGGUCUUCGGAUUGUAAAGCACUUUAAGUUGGGAGGCGUUACCAACAGAAUAAGCACCGGCUAACUUCGUGCCAGCAGCCGCGGUAAUAC